GUGAGGAAUAUUGGUCAAUGGGCGAGAGCCUGAACCAGCCAAGUCGCGUGAAGGAAGAAGGAUCUAUGGUUCGUAAACUUCUUUUGCAGGGGAAUAAAGUGCGGGACGUGUCCUGUUUUGUAUGUACCCUGAGAAUAAGGAUCGGCUAACUCCGUGCCAGCAGCCGCGGUAAUACGGAGGAUCCGAGCGUUAUCCGGAUUUAUUGGGUUUAAAGGGUGCGUAGGUGGUUUGAUAAGUCAGCGGUGAAAGUUUGCAGCUUAACUGUAAAAAUGCCGUUGAAACUGUCGGACUUGAGUGUAGAUGAGGUAGGCGGAAUGCGUGGUGUAGCGGUGAAAUGCAUAGAUAUCACGCAGAACUCCGAUUGCGAAGGCAGCUUACUAAGCUACAACUGACACUGAAGCACGAAAGCGUGGGGAUCAAACAGGAUUAGAAACCCCUGUAGUCC
rnacentral:rRNA from 1 species